rnacentral:rRNA from 1 species
GACGAACGCUGGCGGCGUGCUUAACACAUGCAAGUCGAACGGAAAGGCCCUGCUUUUGUGGGGUUCUCGAGUGGCGAACGGGUGAGUAACACGUGAGUAACCUGCCCUUUACUUUGGGAUAACUUCAGGAAACUGGGGCUACUACCGGAUAGGAGCUCCUGCUGCAUGGGGGGGGUUGGAAAGUUUCGGCUGUUGGGGAUGGACUCGCGGCUUAUCAGCUUGUGGGUGGGGUAGUGGCUUACCAAGGCUUUGACGGGUAGCCGGCCUGAGAGGGUGACCGGCCACAUUGGGACUGAGAUACGGCCCAGACUCCUACGGGAGGCAGCAGUGGGGAAUAUUGCACAAUGGGCGGAAGCCUGAUGCAGCAACGCCGCGUGCGGGAUGACGGCCUUCGGGUUGUAAACCGCUUUCGCCUGUGACGAAGCGUGAGUGACGGUAAUGGGUAAAGAAGCACCGGCUAACUACGUG